AACAGGGAUUGCCUUAGUAACGGCGAGUGAAGCGGCAACAGCUCAAAUUUGAAAGCUGGCUCCUUUGGAGUCCGCGUUGUAAUUUGUAGAGGAUGAUUCGGCAAGGGCUCCCGCCUAAGUCUCCUGGAACGGAGCGUCAUAGAGGGUGAGAAUCCCGUAUGCGGUGGGCUGCCUAAGCCAUGUGAAUCUCCUUCGACGAGUCGAGUUGUUUGGGAAUGCAGCUCUAAAUGGGAGGUAAAUUUCUUCUAAAGCUAAAUACCGGCCAGAGACCGAUAGCGCACAAGUAGAGUGAUCGAAAGAUGAAAAGCACUUUGGAAAGAGAGUUAAAAAGUACGUGAAAUUGUUGAAAGGGAAGCGCUUGCAGCCAGACUUGUCCGCAGUUGCUCAGCCGGUCUCCUGACCGGUGUACUCUUCUGCGGCCAGGCCAGCAUCAGUUCGGGCGGUCGGAUAAAGACCUCGGGAAUGUAGCUCCUCUCGGGGAGUGUUAUAGCCCGGGGUGGAAUGCGGCCAGCCUGGACUGAGGAUCUCGCUUCGGCUAGGAUGCUGGCGUAAUGGCUGUAAGCGGCCCGUCUUGAAACACGGACCAAGGAGUCUAACAUCUAUGCGAGUGUUUGGGUGUCAAACCCAUGCGCGUAAUGAAAGUGAACGGAGGUGGGAACCCUCACGGGUGCACCAUCGACCGAUCCUGAUGUCUUCGGAUGGAUUUGAGUAAGAGCAUAGCUGUUGGGACCCGAAAGAUGGUGAACUAUGCCUGAAUAGGGUGAAGCCAGAGGAAACUCUGGUGGAGGCUCGCAGCGGUUCUGACGUGCAAAUCGAUCGUCAAAUUUGGGUAUAGGGGCGAAAAGACUAAUCGAAC
rnacentral:rRNA from 1 species